ACCAUGUAUGAAGAGUCACUCCGAAUGGGCUUAAGAUUUUCCAUUUAUCCCUUCAUCCUUGACAUCUUCUAUUUUUAUGGUUUGUCCUUUUGUGCCAUUGCUCCGAACUCCUUUAGGUUCGUGGUAGGUUUUUUGGUCCUUUGUGACAUGGCUAGUGUCCAACAUCUAUUGAUCUCUUUUGCUCUUUUUUCACUAUCAAGAGGCAUC
rnacentral:lncRNA from 1 species